CCAUGUCCUCAUUUAUGUAGAAUUGUUGUCUUCAUGUCUAUAUCUAUGGCCCACUUAUGUGCUUCUUUGAAGCUGGACUAAGCUCUUGGGGAGAGAUCAAACCAACUGCGUAUGUAUGGUAGAGAUGUCUUCUUCUUCCUCCCAUUCCAAUAGCAUAAAUGAAGGCCCACCUUGCAAAUGUGGGAUACCGGCACCUAUAAGAACUUCAAAAACAGAGGCUAAUCAGGAGAGAAGAUUCCUAGGUUGUAUAAACUAUAAUCUACCUAGUGCAUGUGGUUUCUUCUAUUAGAUUGACCCCGAAAGGGGCAUGGAAAAAGAUAUGUUGGAAGCUGACAACAAGGAUAUGUGAAGAAAAAUUUCAGUGUUGACCAAAGAGGUGGAAGAAAUUACAAGAGAGAAUAAAGUGUUGAGAAAAAAGAACGAGAAGCUGACAAAAAAAUUACAAGAAGCUGAAGCUCAAGUAUUUGACUACGAAAUGAAAUGCUUGAUUAUAUUAGUUGUAUGCAUUGUUGUGUGGUUUACGAAGAACAUAGUAGUUGUUCCGAACUUGAGGAACUUAAAAUACCUGCCGUAGAUGAUAUGAAAUACGUUGUAACUGAUCCCUUGCUAUUUGUUGUAUAACUAACUCAACUAUGUUGACAUUAUGUUCAAUUGCUAAGGUAUGUUGGCACAAAUGAAGGAAUGAAUUCC